AUAAUCAAUUGUUAAAUCAGAGGUUCCUCGGAGGUUUUAAUUUCCAUUAAAUAUUUUAAAUCUAGUUUCACUCGCCAUUUGUGAUCGAUACAAAUUCAUCUUAAUCAGAUGAAUAAAGGACAAAUGUUGUUAAUGAUCCCAAGGUGAGGUUAUCCUUUGAUAAUAUUGGCAGUAUAUUACAGUGAUUAUCAUGUCUUUAAUUUCAAUAAUAAUAAGAUUGUCCUUCUUCAACUGCCAUUUUAAAUUGAUGAAUGAUUAUCAUUGGAAAAUACCUUUUUCAUUACAAUUCAUUGACUAUUGAUAUUGAUUGUCUUCUAUUAACCAUGAUCAAUCCCUUGUAUAUCCUAAACUUGCCUCUUUCUCCUCUUUCUUUCCCAACUUCAUUUCAAGUUCAUGUUAAUCAUGGAUUUGAUGACCUUAACAGACAACAGUUAACAGUUAAUUUACCUCAAGGUUUACCGUCUAAAGAAGGAGCAUACAUAAGACGAUGUUGAACAAUAACAGUAACAACAGCAAAAAUUUGCUUCGAUCUGCAACCAGAUUAAUCAAUUUGGAAAGUCAACCCUAAUUGCUAACAACCCUGGUUCAACCAACAUUACGAUUGACUAUCAAAUUAUUUCAAUCGUUCAUUCAACUGUUUCAAACUGAAGAGUAACAAUAAAAAUUACUAACUUUAAGUCAAUCUCUUUAUUCUGAAUCUUAUUUUUAGAAGAUCUUGAUUCAGAUUCACGUGUAGAUUCAGUUGUUUGAACCAUAAUCUGAUGCAACUUGUUAUUUGUGAAUUUACUUUCUACAAAAAUGGUUAAAAUGGGAAACAUGUUUAACAUUAACUGAGUUGUAAACAAUUUGAAAUUGCAAACCAUCUAAGAAAUACACAGAAACGUAGAUACAGCAUAAGAGCUUGAUUAUUGAGUCAAUAAAGCUCAAUGUAAACCCACUUUACUGGUAAAGGUUGUAAUUAUAUUUAAAAUCUAUGUGUUUAUCUAAUAACUGUUACCUUAGUUGAGUUUUUAACAUUGGAAUGGGUUAAAUAACAUUGGGAUUAUUUCAUUACACUGGGUUGCUUGAAAUGAUCAACACUUGCACCGUUGGAUCUAUUAACGAUGUUAAAUUUGUAACCUUUGUUUAAUAACCUUUGCAAGUUAUGCAUUUGUAGUUAACGGUGAAUGUCAAUGAUUAACAAUGUAAUAAUGUUACUAUUUUCAACAAUAAGAAAACUGUAUCUGUUAAAUGUUCAUUUCCUUUCAAUUUUAGUAACAUUAGAAGUGAGGCCAACAUCAUCAGUCAACCAAAAUGAUUACUAUUUUCCGUUAUUUACAUGUAUAGUGGCACAAUCAUUAAAAUAUAAAUCUACGUGAAAAAGACAAUUAAUAAUUUAAAAUAAUGGUUACUACAAAAUUAAACAAUGAUAGAAGGUUAAUCAAUUUAUGGUUCCAUAAUCAACAGUUGAUUUAUUUGACAACAAAUGAGAUUCAUUUGGACUAUAAAUCCCAUUUAAUUUAAGUCCAUAUCUGCAUAUCUGAAUCUAUUGCUCUAAGAAUAGCACACACAGCAAAAAUCAGGUGCAAAUAGGAAAUUUUAAAACAAUGAAAAGCUGUUCACUGACUUAAUUUCAAUCAACAGUUAUUUCACUUUAAUUGUGUUGUAUAAUAAAGAUUUACUCAAAGUUAUUGCCUACAUGAUUAUCAACUGAUUACCAACAUCAAAAUGGAAAUAUUUUCACCAUAAACCUUAGUCGCCUAAAACAAAGUCAGGUAAGAUGACUUAACAAAUUAACAUUUUAGGUAUCAAUUGUGUAAACUUGACCAUCAAAUCCUCGCCAAUAAACUUGAUGAUGAUAUCAUGAUUAUGAUUGUAAUUAACAUUGAAAAUGUAAGAAACAGAGUCUUUUAUUAAAGAUUAAGUUGGCUUUUUGGUUCCAUGUGGAUCCACAUAACCUCGGCUUUAAAAAUGAACAGAUAUAUUACAAUCUACUCUCUACUAUGCAAUUGAAAUAAUACAUCUUUUUUUGGUAUGAUUACAAUUAUUAUUAUGAUCGAGGUUGAGUUGAACAAUCGAUAAAUUGCAAAGGUCAAUCGCACAAUUAAAAUCAAACAACGUUUACCGCUGUUAACUAAACUCAAGGAUGACAUUGAAGUGUAACUCUUUUUCACCAUAUUGGAGGCCAUUUUUAAUAAUAAUUGAGCAUUAGGAUUAACGGAAAAGACUUUAUCUUCCUCAAGGGUUUACACUCAUUACCAAUGACCAAAGUUUUCCAGUCUCAAUCAAAACCACAGACAGGUUACUACUGAUUAUGAUGAACAUCAUCAUCAUUAUCAACGUCUUUUUUCAAGGUAAGUUUAUUCAAUUUUAUUCACUCAUUCAUUUAACUGAUCUUGAAGAGGAAAACUUAAAUUACGGAAAUCAAUUGAAUACAAUUCAAAUAAACUUUCAUGGGCAAUUGAUACAUCAAUGUGUGCAUUUUGUAACCAAACCCAUCCAAAUACAAUAAUCAAGUAAACAAACUCACACAAUUCAACAAGACAACUAAUUCCUAUCAUUUUAUCGCUUAAUAAUUAUCUAACAAAAAUGACAAAUUUGGUUGGUUCUUUAAAGCAAUUUAAGUAUAAAAUUACCAGCAAUUACCAGUAUUUGCAUUUGAAUAAAAUUUCAAAGAUUGAAUCAAAAACGCCAAAAACGAAACUCGUAAACAUAUUUUCAAAAGCGCCUAAAUUUAGUCUCGAUUUACUAAUAACAAUAAGACUUGAAAUUUCCAGCUGCCAAUGGACUUGAUAUUCAACCAGAAAUGAACCAGAAAAUGGGUUACCAAAAAGAGCAAAUGCUCUGAAGAUUUCGAGUGAAACCAGUUUUUUAGGAUUAUCUAAGAGUUUGUCCAUUAAGCUGUAAUCGGUCGAUUAAUAGUUGAAUUGUAAUUAACCAUAAUGAGGGAAUAAUUAAUUUAAAUUGAUGAUGUUGGAGGAACAAUCGUUAACUUGAUUCAUUGUUAAAUCCAACUGUUUCUGGUUACUGGUUUUGCUGCUGUUGUUACACUCCAGGUUGACCUUAAACAGCGUUUAAUAACUAUCCUUACUGACCUUGAUUAUGUUAAUCUUGGUUGUUUGGUUGAAAAUGAAAGCUGAUUUCCGUAAACAUUAGGUUAAUAAUAGUAACACGUUAAAAAUAUAACCCAAAAUAAGGAUUACAAUUGAAGUUAACCCGGAAGGCCGUUGGUCUUUUCUGGUUUCAUACCAUUUCUUACAUUACCAGGUUACCUGAAAAAAAGAGACGAGUUACAAGGUUAGUUAAUGAUAAUAAGGAUUUGAAAGAUAAUUGUUAUAAUGCUUUAAAUCAGCAUCAAUACAUUUUGGGAUUGAUAAACCUUGCCUUGGACAAGUUGAUUGAUUGAUCGGUUCACUGUUGGCUUUUCUGGUUCAUCAUUAGUUAAUGAUCAUCGAGUAAUCAAUGAUGUUAUUGACUAUCAAUGAAAGGUACAAUAUAAGCUACAAUUUAGUUACAAUUUAAUCAGGAAGUCUGAAUGAGUGAAUGACUUAAUGUCUUGUAAACUGUACAAUUUGUGUAUAUGCAAACGAGUCAACCAUUGGCUUUUCAUUUGGUUAACAAUUUGACGGUUUGGGUUGUUACAGGAUUAGAUUAUAAUCAGUUAAUAUUGAAAAGGUUAACCAUUUAUUGUUCAAUGGAGGACUAUAAUUUGAAUAAACAACUAGGAAGGUGGAAAAUAGCAUAACAUUGAUUACUCAAGGUAGCCUCAUCAAUAGAUAUAUUUUUCACCUUCUUCUUGUCAAUCUAAUCACUUGCUCAUAGCUGAUAUUAAUCAUAAUUAUAAUACACAUCAACAAUGGUUAAAAGGUUGAAAAAAUAGCAACAAAUAAUCAAAAUAAAAUAUCUUCAGGAAAUAUCGUCACCUAAAAAAAACGUUAUGUUCAAUGUUCAAUAAUGAAUAUGAACACAGCAAAACAAUGUAUACACAUUAAUAAUCCAAAAAUAAUCAUUUUGCUCUCAAGUUUGUUUUGCUUGAUACAAAGUAACAAUUUGAUCAACCUUGUUCUGAUCAGUCUUGUUUAUAUGAUUUGUAGACACAACAAUCAAGGCACAAUUUAAACAAAACAAAAUUAACCAUAAACAGGGAAGCUAAGGAAUCUAAAGGCAAACGGUUGAUCAACAGGAUUUAUUUUGAUGUGAUAAACCAAUAUAGACAGCAUUUCAUGGUAAACUUAAAAUAUAUAACUAUUCAAAGAUGAAUGAUAAAAUGCUAAAGGAAAAUAAUUAUAAUUAAAGUCUUAAAUUGUAAUAAUUAUCAACCAAAAAAGGAAAGGAAAGGAAAGCGCCAACAUUUGGAAAACGCGCUUCGGUUCAUCAGCUGAUGCAAUAUUACAAACUGGUUAACAUGUCUUGUGGUAUAGCAAUGGCAUUGAUUUUGUUGAAGUUACCUUCUUCGUAAUUUAUUAAAGUUUAUAAUAGUUAAUUGUAAUAAUGUUAAGAGUAACAUUGAGAAAUAAUUAAAUUGUUAAUGGUUAACCGUGAAGUUAAACGAUGGUGAAGGAGAAAGAUGAAAGUCUCAAACAAUUAAAGGUUAUCAAUAUCUUUCCCUUUUACCAUUCACUUUGUGUUAAGUGAAUGUUCAUAAGGUUAUUCUAAUUGUUGCUGAUGUUCCUGUUGAUCUCACUUUAAUAUUUAUUGAUUGUAAUAAGUAAGUGUUGAUAAUUUUCAAUGUUACAUGUAAUCAAUUCAAUGAGACUAGCUGUUAAUUACAAUGGCAAUAGCAUCCAAGCAAAAAUGGUUAAAGCAAGGCAAAUGGUAUCCGCGUCCAUUCAAUACACUAUAAAAAUUGUUAAUCAAUCAGUUGGAGGUAACCAGAAAAAAAAGACUUAAUCAUUAUCAAUGUCGGAACAACCCGAUGAUGAUGAUGGUGAUCAAAGUCAUUGAUAAUAAUUUUUUCAUAAAAUUAUUAAUGGUAAUGAUGAAAUACAAUUUACCUUCCCAUUACCAUGGACACUUUGCCUUCAUAUUUCCAAUGACAAUCUAUGUGUAUUAUAGCCAACAUUAUCCUUGCAAAAAUCAAGGUUCAUCAUAACUUCUUCCUCAUCACUUCAUAAUCAUCAUCAUCACUUUCAUCAGCAACAUUUUCACCAUCGUCUUCAUCAUCAUGUGGUUCUACAACAAUGAUUUACUUGGUUUUUGUACAUUCAAAUCAGGGUUAAAUUUUCAAUUGAUAUCAUCAAAUCUCUAUCAUCUUAGCCUUCGUACAUAUUAUAUUUCAAUUUAAUAUCCACGUUAAUUCAAGUGAUAAAUAGUCAAGUUAAUCAAUAUGCAAUCAUUUGUAAUGUAAAAGUUUAAAGCAUCGAAACAUUGAGAAGAUUGAAAUUCAUGGAUCAUAACUGUUUCAAUACUAAUCGAAGCUGUGCAUUGGGCUUAUUGGUUUAACCAUUUCUUAUGAAUCGUUAUGAUUAUUAUCAUCAUCUAUUUCACUUCAACUCACGUAUUAGAUACCAGAAAUUAAGCUUGCGUUGAACCACAUAGAAACAGUUCCAAAUCUAUGUUUAAACCUUAAAAUUAGGACAAAUUAACUUACAAAUAUUUACACACUUCUAUUAUUGUGUUGCUGUAUUACAAGGUUCAACUAAUUAUAUACAUGGGUAAUCAUAUUGGGUUCAUCUUUAUUGGAUUCAGUCUUGUUGGAUUAAAACUAAACUAUCUAGUGAGACCGAACACACAAUUUAAUUGAAACACCUAAAAUUUAGAGUUGCACAUUUAUACCUAUCAAAUGUUGGCAUUAACUGUAAUCUAAACAGGAAAGGGCUUGCCAGUAGAAAGAUCACAAUUAACAAUUGAUUAUAUCAAGUCACCAACGAUAAUUACAAAGUUAACAUAAAAGCUCAUGUAAUGUUAAUAGGAGUGAUAAUUUUCAGAGAUUCAUCCAAAUUAUCAUCUCCUUGACCUCGUUUUUAUAAGCUUAUUAACUCGAUUUCUUCAUCUUAACCAUUGUCCUAAUCAGCAUAAUGAAACUAAAUGGUAUAAUCGACAAUGAUGAAAGGUUAAUCUU